UUAGUUUAUAAAAGGAGAACAGAUGGCAGCAAUGUGGUAAAGAUCCUUUAAAAGAAGGAACACUUGGCUUAGAUUGUACAAGGAUUGGCGAUGGGGCUUCAAUGAGGAUUAAUAUGGGCAAUGUGGCAGAAAUCAGAAAGAAAUUAGGGUUAAAGGAGGCUCUCGAAUGUGUUAGGGUCAUUUGUGUUGGAAUGGCUAGGGUUAUCUCUCUUUCCCGAUCGUUUUAAUCAUUUUUCGUUUUGUUGAGAUUUUGCAGGAAUUUUUUGUUAUUUCCUAGUUUUGUACUUUAUAAAUACAAUGUAAAUCGUUCUUUCAACAUGGUAAGUUUUUACACAUAGGAUCGAUCAGUCAGCAACCCCGAUGUACCGGAGCACGUCGCGUGACAAGAUACGCUGACGUCAGUAUCACGCGGGAUGCCACGCGGAUGAUAUGCGUGCCUCGUGAUUGAACGGUCCAUGAUCGAUUCCGUGAGCGUGGACGGUCCGAAUUUGUUUCUUCUUUAAAUGCAAUCGAACGGUUGAGAUCAAAUCACGAUAAACAGUUCAGAUUUAUUUCCUC
rnacentral:lncRNA from 1 species